CUUACAACCUUCAGUGAUGAAUGUCUUGGCUUGAACACUGAUGAAGGGCGCAGCGGAGUGUGAUAAGCAUUGUGAAUUGCAGAAUUCCGUGAAUCAAUAGAAUCUUGAAUGUAUUCUGUGCUUUCGGGACAUUCCUGAGGGCCUGUCUGCUUCAGAGUCUUCUUCUUUUA
rnacentral:rRNA from 1 species